GGCUCUCCCAGUCCAGAGGCUUCCCUGGACGGAAGCUCCAGCUCCAGAGUUGCCCUCCUCCUUAAGCCACCUGGGUUAUCCUGGACCACAGGAUCAGGGAAAUGCUGCUCUGGGAGGAAGAGCAGAGAGCUCGUGACCCUGGAGCAGACUCCUGGAAGAAAAGGAGACCCAAGCUGACAAGAGAAUGGGGGUGGGGAAAUUGGUAUAUUUUUUUCUUCACUGUGCCAAAGAAAUAAAAGAUAAGAAUAAGAA